GAUGAACGCUGGCGGCGUGCCUAAUACAUGCAAGUCGAGCGAACAGACGAGGAGCUUGCUCCUCUGACGUUAGCGGCGGACGGGUGAGUAACACGUGGAUAACCUACCUAUAAGACUGGGAUAACUUCGGGAAACCGGAGCUAAUACCGGAUAAUAUAUUGAACCGCAUGGUUCAAUAGUGAAAGACGGUUUUGCUGUCACUUAUAGAUGGAUCCGCGCCGCAUUAGCUAGUUGGUAAGGUAAAGGCUUACCAAGGCAACGAUGCGUAGCCGCCCUGAGAUGGUGAUCGGCCACCCUGGAACUAGGACACGCUCCAGACUACUACGGGAGGCAGCAGUAGGGAAUUUUCCGCCAUGGGCGAAAGCCUGCCGGAGCCACGCCGCGUGCGUGAUGAAGGUCUUCGGAUCGUAAAACUCUGUUAUUAGGGACGAACAAAUGUGUAAGUACCUAUGCACGUCUUGACGGUACCUAAUCAGAAAGCCACGGCUAACUACGUG
rnacentral:rRNA from 1 species